AAUGUUCUUGGAGAAAACCUGGGGGAAAUGUUCCUGUGUGAUCUUCCUCUUUGAACCUUACAGACAAAUGGCCGUCGUCUGAAAAAAAACACAAGAACUCAACAUCAGUCCGUCGCAGAAUUAAGGAGCAGAAGUAGCAGAUGGCACACGAAGAAUCAUUGAAUACCAAAAAUAGGACACGCCUACGGAAGCCUUGUCUGUAAGGAUAUGUUUGUAACAGUGGGAAACAACUGCUGGAGUCGACGUACACUACCACUCCGGUAUAAAAUACCCGCCGCUCUUUUUUAUUGUAAAUGCUCCGGAUUUGACUUUAACUUAAUUUGUUCCUCUUUGGUAAUGAUAUAUUUUGAUUGAUAUACAUAUAUACAUAAUUUCCAAAAAUAUAUACAAAACAU